ACGGGGACCCGCACAAGCGGUGGAUGAUGUGGAUUAAUUCGAUGCAACGCGAAGAACCUUACCUAACCCUUGACAUGUCCGGAAACUUGCCAGAGAUGGCUUGGUGCCCGAAAGGGAAUCGGAACACAGGUGCUGCAUGGCUGUCGUCAGCUCGUGUCGUGAGAUGUUGGGUUAAGUCCCGCAACGAGCGCAACCCUUAUCAUUAGUUGCUACGCAAGGGCACUCUAAUGAGACUGCCGGUGACAAACCGGAGGAAGGUGGGGAUGACGUCAAGUCCUCAUGGCCCUUAUGGGUAGGGCUUCACACGUCAUACAAUGGUCGGUACAGAGGGUUGCCAAGCCGCGAGGCGGAGCCAAUCCCACAAAGCCGAUCGUAGUCCGGAUUGUUCUCUGCAACUCGAGAGCAUGAAGUCGGAAUCGCUAGUAAUCGCAGGUCAGCAUACUGCGGUGAAUACGUUCCCGGGUCUU
rnacentral:rRNA from 1 species